rnacentral:rRNA from 1 species
GGAAUUGUUCACAAUGGGCGCAAGCCUGAUGACGCAACGCCGCGUGGGGGAUGAAGGUCUUCGGAUCGUAAACCCCUGUCGAAUGGGACGAAUAGCUUCCGGAUCAAUACCCCGGAGGAAUGACGGUACCGCUAAAGGAAGCCCCGGCUAACUCCGUGCCCGCAGCCGCGGUAAUACAGGGGGGGGCAAGCGUUGUUCGGAAUUACUGGGCGUAAAGGGCUCGUAGGCGGCCAACUAAGUCGGAUGUGAAAUCCCCAGGCUCAACCUGGGAACUGCAUCCGAUACUGGAUGGCUUGAAUCCGGGAGAGGGAUGCAGAAUUCCAGGUGUAGCGGUGAAAUGCGUAGAUAUCUGGAGGAAUACCGGUGGCGAAGGCGGCAUCCUGGACCGGCAUUGACGCUGAUGAGCGAAAGCCAGGGGAGCAAA